UGGGGAAUAUUGGCCAAUGGGCGAAAGCCUGAUCCAGCCAUGCCGCGUGUGUGAAGAAGGUCUUCGGAUUGUAAAGCACUUUAAGUUGGGAGGAAGGGCAUUAACCUAAUACGUUAGUGUUUUGACGUUACCGACAGAAUAAGCACCGGCUAACUCUGUGCCAGCAGCCGCGGUAAUACAGAGGGCGCAAGCGUUAAUCGGAAUUACUGGGCGUAAAGCGCGCGUAGGUGGUUUGUUAAGUUGGAUGUGAAAUCCCCGGGCUCAACCUGGGAACUGCAUUCAAAACUGACUGACUAGAGUAUGGUAGAGGGUGGUGGAAUUUCCUGUGUAGCGGUGAAAUGCGUAGAUAUAGGAAGGAACACCAGUGGCGAAGGCGACCACCUGGACUAAUACUGACACUGAGGUGCGAAAGCGUGGGGAGCAAACA
rnacentral:rRNA from 1 species